AAAACUUUAAGUUAAAAAAACUAUUAAUCUUCAAAAUUAAAAAUAUUAAAUUUUUAAUAAGUUUUU
rnacentral:tRNA from 1 species